GAUGAACGCUAGCGGCAGGCCUAAUACAUGCAAGUCAAGGGGCCAGUAAUGGCACCGGCGGACGGGUGCGUAACGCGUACACAACGUACCUUUGGGUGGGGGAUAGCAUCGGGAAACUGGUGGUAAUACCCCAUGGUAUUGGAGACUGGCAUCAGUUUUCAAUUAAAGACUACGCCCAAAGAUCGGUGUGCGUCUGAUUAGCUAGUUGGUAGGUAACGGCCUACCAAGGCGACGAUCAGUAGGGGAUGUGAGAGCAUGAUCCCCCACACGGGUACUGAGACACGGACCCGACUCCUACGGGAGGCAGCAGUAAGGAAUAUUGGACAAUGGUCGGAAGACUGAUCCAGCCAUGCCGCGUGAAGGAUGAAGGCGCUCAGCGUUGUAAACUUCUUUUAUAUAGGAAGAAAAAAGGUCUUUCUAGAUCGUCUGACGGUACCUUAUGAAUAAGCACCGGCUAACUCCGUG
rnacentral:rRNA from 1 species